GGGUCUUGCCAAGGCUCUGCAAAGAUGAAGGUGUCCCAGCCAGAUGAUGUGUUGGCCAGGGUUACACCUGGACCAGCUGUGGCUGAUCUCUCCCUCACUUCAGCAGAGACUUCCUUGUAAAGGCAGCACACGGCACUUCAAGGGGAGAGCCUCAGGGCUUCUCCUCUCCUGGAACUGCUGAAGUACUGGUGGCCUGUCAGGAACAGCAGGAGAGAGGCACAGCGGACUCUAGAGUGCCUCUCCCAUGCAGAUGUGACUCUGAGCACUUGCUAUUAAUUUUAAGAGCAGAAAAGAACAAGAAGCCUGUUCGUUCAUCACCUGGGUGAAACAUCCCAUGGAGAAGCACCGUGUUGGCAGAAACCCUUUCCCCUGUGAGCUGGAGACAGGCAGUUCUGAGGCCCAUUACAGCUGUUAAACCAUACACUUGCCCUGCUAACAGCAAUGCCAGGAGGCACUUUCCCCCUGCAGUUGUGUUUGGGUGCUGGGCACACACAGCAAUCCUCUCUGAGGAGUGAGGAGUGUGAGCAAGGCCAUCACAGCAGCUGCCUCACUGAAAUGAAGGUGUAUGUGUGCUUAUAGGCUGUGAUAGAAACUGCUGUGAUCAGUGCUGGGAAAAUGUAAGUCACGUGGGAUCAUUCAACAAGGUGAUGACCUUACUGUUAAAGUGGCUUUUUAAAGAGGUGAUUCCUUAAAUCAGCUCAUCAUCUGUGUCCCUGACUGUUCAUGGGUCUUUGCACAUCUUCCAGGGCAGCAAGAGAUGCCUGUUGACUCUCUGCAAUUAGUACCCCUGGCUUAAUCGACUUUAACAUUCUCCCAGGUUCCUUUGAGAUGAAUCUCCAUCUGCUCGUCCUGGACAAAGUGUCUCUUCCUGAGAUUCAGCUACAGCUGAGAUGAGAAGCAGACAUGAGGCAAACCUCACACUCCUAGCACAGCACAUAUGAGGGAGAACUUCAUGGCUGCUGUCAAGGGGUGAGAGACUCCUGAGUCCGUGCCAUGGCCGUGGCCUGGAUCCACACUGAUCCCAGUUAUCCAGUCCACUCUGGCAGUGAUGUGAGGUGCCAGACGUGGAGUGCCAGAGCCUGCAUGGUUGGCUUUGUGCCUGCUUGGGAGCCUGACCUUGCAGGAGGAGGUCUGCCAAGAGGAUCUCCAGCCACUGCUUCUCCAAAUGGCGCACAUACAGCCUGUCUGGGACUGAAGGAGGGACAGCAUGGCUGGGGGGAGAUACUGAAUCCAGACCAUCCCUCUGACACCGCAGAGAUGUGCUCCUGCCCACCAUGCAGACAAAAGUGCCUCUCCUAUGCUGAGGUUAUGAUGUGCCCCAGGCCUUGGCCCCUUCCCCAUAAUGUGUGACAGGAGUAUGGAGUGACCUGCAAACACGUCCAUCUGCUCCAGCCUGUCCCACUUUAACACCCUUCAGCAGCAACAGGAUGGGGGAUGCUUGUGCAUGAUUCCCCUUGAGAACUAAGCUAACCAGCCACUGGAUGUCAUUAUUGCUCCAAACCAGUACACUGAAGAAUCUAUUCCAGACCUCCAAAAAUAUGAAUUUGGAUUCUCUGUGCUCCCCAAACUCUUCCCUGGGCUGUCUCCAGCAAUCAGAGAGAGUGACAGCUCUGAAACUCUCCAAGUUAACAAGU